rnacentral:rRNA from 1 species
UAAGCCAUGCAAGUCGAACGAGUUUAGGCUCGUGGCGUACGGCUCAGUAACACGUGGAUAACCUACCCUUAGGACCGGGAUAACCUUGGGAAACUGAGGAUAAUACUGGAUAGGCAAUUUUUUUCCUGUAAUGGUUUUUUGUUUAAAUGUUUUUUUCGCCUAAGGAUGGGUCUGCGGCCGAUUAGGUAGUUGGUUAGGUAAUGGCUUACCAAGCCGUUGAUCGGUACGGGAUGUGAGAGCAAGAGCCCGGAGAUGGAACCUGAGACAAGGUUCCAGGCCCUACGGGGUGCAGCAGGCGCGAAACCUCCGCAAUGUGAGAAAUCGCGACGGGGGGAUCCCAAGUGCCAUUCUUAACGGGAUGGCUUUUCUUUAGUGUAAAGAGCUUUUGGAAUAAGAGCUGGGCAAGACCGGUGCCAGCCGCCGCGGUAACACCGGCAGCUCUAGUGGUAGCAAUUUUUAUUGGGCCUAAAGCGUCCGUAGCCGGUUUAAUAAGUCUCUGGUGAAAUCCUGUAGCUUAACUAUGGGAAUUGCUGGAGAUACUAUUAGACUUGAGACCGGGAGAGGUUAGAGGUACUCCCAGGGUAGAGGUGAAAUUCUGUAAUCCUGGGAGGACCGCCUGUUGCGAAGGCGUCUAACUGGAACGGUUCUGACGGUGAGGGACGAAAGUUAGGGGCGCGAACCGGAUUAGAUACCCGGGUAGUCCUAACUGUAAACGAUGCGGACUUGGUGUUGGGGUGGCUUUGAGCUGCUUCAGUGCCGAAGGGAAGCUGUUAAGUCCGCCGCCUGGGAAGUACGGUCGCAAGACUGAAACUUAAAGGAAUUGGCGGGGGAGCACCACAACACGUGGAGCCUGCGGUUUAAUUGGAUUCAACGCCGGACAUCUCACCAGAGGCGACAGCUGUAUGAUAGCCAGGUUGAUGACUUUGCUUGACUAGCUGAGAGGAGGUGCAUGGCC